rnacentral:rRNA from 1 species
GAUGAACGCUGACAGAAUGCUUAACACAUGCAAGUCUUUGGCGAAGCUGUGCUUGCACCGCCUAGCCAAGGCGGACGGGUGAGUAACGCGUAAGGAACUUGCCCUGCAGUCAGGGAUAACGAAGGAAAAGACCGAUAAAACCUGGUAAAGUCAGGCGGGACCAUGUCCAGCCUGAUGAAAAGAGAUGCUGCAGGAGAGCCUUGCGUCCCAUUAGCUUGUUGGUGGGGUAACGGCCCACCAAGGCGAUGAUAGGUAGCCGGCCUGAGAGGGUGGACGGCCACAAGGGGACUGAGAUACGGCCCUUACUCCUACGGGAGGCAGCAGUGGGGAAUAUUGGACAAUGGGGGCAACCCUGAUCCAGCAAUUCUGUGUGCACGAUGAAGGUUUUCGGAUUGUAAAGUGCUUUCAGCAGGGAAGAAAAAAUGACGGUACCUGCAGAAGAAGCGACGGCUAAAUACGUG